AACGAACGCUGGCGGCAGGCUUAACACAUGCAAGUCGAGCGCCUCGCAAGAGGAGCGGCAGACGGGUGAGUAACGCGUGGGAACGUACCCUUAUCUUCGGAAUAGCUCUGGGAAACUGGAAGUAAUACCGAAUGUGCCCUUAGGGGGAAAGAUUUAUCGGAUAAGGAUCGGCCCGCGUUGGAUUAGCUAGUUGGUGGGGUAAAGGCCUACCAAGGCGACGAUCCAUAGCUGGUCUGAGAGGAUGAUCAGCCACAUUGGGACUGAGACACGGCCCAAACUCCUACGGGAGGCAGCAGUGGGGAAUAUUGGACAAUGGGCGCAAGCCUGAUCCAGCCAUGCCGCGUGAGUGAUGAGGGCCUUAGGGUUGUAAAGCUCUUUCACCGGAGAAGAUAAUGACGGUAUCCGGAGAAGAAGCCCCGGCUAACUUCGUG
rnacentral:rRNA from 1 species